rnacentral:lncRNA from 10 species
ACUGUAUUUCCAACAAGGUCAAGUUCAGUUUGUGCUGUUUGUUACUUUGCCUGCUAGGGAAGACACACACGCGCGCGCACACACACACACAUACACACCCCACAGGACAUGAUAACCUUUGGAAGAGAAGAAUUAAGGGAUGUUAACGCAGAGCGCUUGCUGGGCAGGGACCUAUGUGUGGUUUCAGGAAAUCCCAGUCACGUCGCCAAGAAGGUCAUGAAAAAUGAAUGGCCCCAGAGCACCACUGUGACAGACUGUUUUAGUGUCUUACUGGAAGGCUGUGGGCCGAUGCCAGGUGACAUGAUAGACAAUUACUGGACUAAUUUGCAAAGCGAAUUUCUGAAGUCACAUUUUUUGCUUCACAUGGAUUCCAUCUUCACAGAGAAGGUAGCAUUUGAUUGACAUUUUGUUUCUUGUUUACAGUUUGUUUCUGGCAUCAGUUAACUGCAAAAUUACUCAACCUCUCAGGAGUUUUUCUGAUGCGAAAUUAACCAAUUGCGCAAAAUUUUGUCUAAGUCACUUUCCAACAUGAAUGCUUUAGGAAUGCUUGAAAUUUUAAUAAGAUAGGCACAUGAAACCACCACAAAUUCCAACCAGCAUAUCAGAUGUUAUUAAAAUGAAUUGUUAAGAACAACUAAUCUCAGGAAAUGUGUUGAUGUAGUUAUCUCACUUAAUAGAAAUAUGCG